GACAGAGGGUGCGAACGUUGCUCGGAAUCACUGGGCGUAAAGCGCGUGUAGGCGGUGCCGCACGUCGGGUGUGAAAGCCCGGGCUCAACCCGGAAGCGCUCCCGAAACGACGGCGCUGGAGUGCGAGAGAGGCGAGUGGAAUUCCCGGUGUAGCGGUGAAAUUCGUAGAUAUCGGGAGGAACACCGGUGGCGAAGGCGGCGAUCUGGGUAGAUACUGACGCUGAGGUGCGAAAGCGUGGGGAGCAAACAGG
rnacentral:rRNA from 1 species